AUAACUCUAUAUCGUGGUCAUACUAGAAUCAAGCCCUAUUCCAUUCAUUUUUUUUGAAACCACUUGAUCCAUAGUUGUUUUUGGUCUAUCCCUACUUCUGUCUCCAUCUAAAUGAAUUUUAUUGCCUUUUCUUACUGGGGCAUUCAUAAGUCCCCGUUGAGCAUGAGCGUAACACCUCAACCGCUCUGCCAAGUAAGAACAAUUUUGGAGGCGGAGAAAUCGUUGACAAAGAGGACGAGAUCAAGGGAUAUCCGAGAACUGAGUCCGGCGGAGCAGCGGUGGCUUCACACACUCCCCUCCCCAUACAGUGGAGCCAUGGGUAGCUGCUAGAAUUUUCUGACGUCGGUGCCCAAUACCGAGUACACAAGAGAGAGGGGGAAAGGAGACUCCAUUUGUGAAGUAGCUUGCAAAGCACUCAUUGAAUUGAUUCCAUGAUCAGCCCUUCUCAUACUGUAGGCCGUCACUGAUUGCCCAAAGUUUAUCAACCAGCUACAGAACAAUGCCAUAAAAUAUGGGCACGACCUUCUUCCCCUGUAUGGCAAGAAGGCCACAUCUCAGGGGACUAUUUACGAAAGCACGGAUCUUUCCGUCUUCGUCUGAUCACAUUGAUGUUGUGGGGAUAAGCGAAGACAUUUUAAUCCAGGGAACCCAGGUGUUCUCUCAGGAACAUAUGUUUGAAACUAACACGCAAUUAAAACAAUUGAUAAACACUGGUCAUCUAAAUGAUGCAAGGCACAUGUUCGAUAAAAUGCUUCAGAGAGAUGAAAUUUCAUGGACUACUAUGAUCUCCGGCUAUGUCAAUGCGUCCAAUGCCUCCGAGGCAUUGAUUCUUUUCUCAAGGAUGUGGGUCGACAGUGCAAUCAAAAUGGACCCAUUCAUUCUCAGUCUUGCACUCAAGGCUUGUGCCCGCAAUUUGGAACUGAAACAUGGGAUGUUGAUCCAUGCAUACUGUGUUAAAACUGGUUUCGUGAACUCUGUCUUUGUGGGAAGUGCCCUUCUUGACAUGUACACCAAAGCUGGAUGCAUUUCAUUAGGUUGUAGAGUCUUCGACGAAAUGCCUACAAGAAAUGUGGUCUCGUGGACUGCUAUUAUUACUGGGCUUGUCCGCAAUGGUUACAACAAGGAGGGUCUUUUGUACUUCUCGGAAAUGUGGGGAUCAGAUGUUGAGUGUGAUACUUACACGUUUGCUAUAGCACUAAAGGCUUGUGCUGACUCGGGUGCUAUAACUUAUGGUAGAGCAAUUCAUACACAGGCAAUGAAGGUGGGCUUUGAUUCGAGCUCCUUUGUGGCCAAUACUCUGGCCACCAUGUACAACAAGUGUGGAAAAUUGCAUUAUGGAUUGCGCUUGUUUGAAAGGAUGAGGAUCCAUGAUGUUGUCUCUUGGACAACUAUCAUCGCUACAUAUGUGCAGAUGUGUCAAGAGGAGGAUGCAAUUCAGACGUUCACACGGAUGAGAGAGUCGGAUAUUGAUCCUAAUGAGUUUACCUUUGCUGCAGUUAUUUCUGGCUGUGGUGCUCUUGCAAAGAUAGGGUGGGGUGAACAAUUACAUGCCCAUACUCUAUGCACUGGUCAUAUUAAUUCCUUGUCAGUUGCAAAUGCCAUCAUGGCCAUGUAUUCAAAGUGUGGAUGCCUAACUUCAGCUUCAAGAGUCUUUCACGAGAUGAAGAGAAGAGAUGUGAUUUCUUGGAGUACAAUAAUUGCAGGUUAUUCUAAUGAAGGACACGGCGAGGAAGCUUUUGAGCUUUUUUCUUGGAUGAGGAGUGAAGGUCUGGAACCAAACGAGUUCAGUCUAGCUAGCUUGUUGAGUGUUUGUGGAAAUAUGGCAAUUCUAGAGCAAGGGAAGCAAGUCCAUUCUCAUGUCCUGUCCGUUGGUUUAGAACUUGAUAUCAUGAUAAAUAGUGCUUUGAUAAAUAUGUAUUCCAAAUGUGGGAGCAUAGAUGAUGCAUCAUGGAUUUUUUAUUCUGCAGCAAAUGAAGAUACUGUUUCAUGGACAGCUAUGAUUAAUGGUUAUGCUGAACAUGGGCACAGCAGAGAAGCUCUCAAUUUGUUUGAGAAGAUGUCAAGGGUUGGGGUUAGGCCAGAUUAUGUUACCUUCAUUGGUGUACUUAGUGCCUGUAGCCACGCUGGACUAGUAGACCGUGGUUUCCACUACUUCAACUCAAUGAGCGUGGACUACCAGAUUAAUCCAGGGAAAGAACACUAUGGCUGCAUGAUCGAUCUUCUCUGCCGAUCUGGACGGCUACACGAGGCAGAGUGCAUGAUAAAAAGCAUGCCAUUUGAACAGGAUGAUGUUGUUUGGUCAACACUGCUCAGGGCAUGCAGGACCCAUGGUGAUUUAGAGUGCGGAAAACGAACAGCAGAGGUCAUUCUUGAAUCGGAUCCUAAUUGUGCAGGAACACACAUCACGCUAGCUAACAUCUACGCUUCAACAGGGAGGUGGAGGGAUGCAGCGGAUAUGAGGAAGCUGAUGAAAUCAAAGGGGGUGAUGAAGGAGCCAGGUUGGUCAUGGAUUAAGGUCAAAGACAGAGUGUCUGCCUUUGUGGCUGGUGAUCGCAAACAUCGUCAGGGUGAGGAUAUAUAUUCCAUGUUGGAUUUACUUGCAUUGAAGCCUGAACUGGCUGGCUACUCCCUGGAAAGUGGUUGGUUGCUGCAUGAUAUUGAGGAUUAACACAAAGAGCUAUAGAUUAUUGUUUACCAGAAUUGGAGAUUUUGGGGGCGGGCCUUGGCGCAAAGGUGUAAGGUUGCUCCAUGGUCAUGGGAUCGAGUCAGGAAACUGCCUCUCCACGAAUUGGGGGUAAGGCUGGUUACAUAUGACCCUCCCCAGACCCUGCAGUGGUGGGAGCCUCGUACACUAGGUGCACCCCUUUCUUUAUAUGUUAUCUAUGAAAAGUGCUACUAUGCAUUUUUUUCCUUGGACUAUGAAUGUUGAUUCUCAAGCUAUGGUAGCUUUAGCUAAUUAAUCAUCCAAGUGACAGAAUGGGUUGAAUCCCUGCCACAACUGGUGGGGACCUAUUUUGAUAGGUGACUAUUUUUCUUUUCUUUUUGGAAAGGGGGUGGGGGGGAAGAGUAUAUAUGCGCAUCUUUUCAUUGUUAUCUAGCUAUGUAUUGUGACCCUAUGCAAUUCAAUAUAGUACCUUUAUUUACCCACAAAAAAAGAGGGUGGAAAUCAUCAUAAAUUAACUUUCCCUCAAAAUCCUGUUUACAAAUACAAUACACUUCAGAUUGUAUUUAUAGCCAUUACAAAAUAUUGAAUGAUUAUUAUCUCUGACACUAAAAGUUUGUCAUUAUAGACAUGGUGAUGGGAAUCCUUAACAACCUAACCCACCAACCUAGAGAUAACUUAAUAACACAUCCACUAAGGGCAGUGAAAAGAAAAGAGACACUUAAUACAGAUUGGAUUCUUAUUCCAAUACAAAAGUAAGCAUCUCCAUUGAUGGUUAAAUAGCUAAUAUGUGGAAUAAAGGUAUUAGAUAAGACCAAUUAUAAUCAUGAUUACAUAACAGCUUAUGGUAGACAUGACACAUUGACUUAGAAAAAGUACAUCCUUAGUUGCAGAAGGGCAAAUCAAGGUCUAAACAGCACCUGUGUUGGAACAUGUAUGAUUCACAAAUUGUCAAAAUCAUUUUUUAAUUGUUUGCUACACAAUUUCUAGAUACUUUGGUAAGUUGUUAACUUUAUGAGUUCAGAUUACCAAUCCGAAGAACUAAUAGUCAAACUAUAACCUCACCAGCUUGAGAAUCAAUCCAAGAUCUACUCUGAUUCACGCAUUCCUACCUGACUCUGUGAUCCGUCAAGUUGAUUUUUUUCAGAUCAUUGAAUUGCAUAAGUUAAAGUCAACUGAAAGAAGAUUCAUAUUUAAGUCAAGUUUCUUCUUCACACAUUGACCAGAAAAUACCAUAGAACAAUGUAUAUACAAGACUUGAUCUAAGGAAAGUAACUUGAUCUGGACCAUUCAGUCAAGUGGUAACCUUUUGAAUGGGUGUGAAGUACUGAAAUUUCAAUUAUGUUAAGCUAUUAUGUAGCUGAUAAGUUUAUACUCUGGUUCCUAAUAUUGAUCACACAUUAUGGUAAACAGUUAGAGGAAAAGUUUCACUGUUGGGGUCAUUUUAAAGGGACUCUGCCUAAUUGAACAGUUAUCAGAUUGAUCUGUAUUUUCGUUCAUAUUAUUUAUUCAAAGAAAGAAAAACUAUGAUGAAUUUCAGAUUCGAAAUAGUUGAUGAUAGGUUUGAAUAGUAACAAAACAAUGUCAUUGAGGUGAACAGAAUUCACGAGGACAUUUCAAAAUAACAUGCAAGGUUGGAGGAAACCACUCUCCUAAAGGAUGUAUAAAUUAAUAUGAAAGUCAUGAUCCAUAAGAUAGAAGAGUAAUAUGGAUAUAAGAGUAAUGAUCUCUUUCUCAUAAGUCAUUGGCGGAGGAAGAAGAGUAAUAAAGCAGUCAUUGUUGUACAAAGAAAAUUGUCUGCAUAACAAUAGAUAAUUGAAAGAAAUUACUUUUCAUAAAGAAAGAACUGGCAACUGCACUUUCUAUAAAUUCCUCUAGUAUAUAUAUUGACCUAUAUUUUGAGGAAAAUUUCAAUGAAAGGUGAAACUUGAUCCAUCUCACCUCUGGUCUUUGUCAAUAUCAGAUGUCUUGUUCCUAGUUUUGGGAGGCAUCUAGCAAAAAUAUUGUAAUAACUCCAUCUAAGUAGUCUCAUGAUUUCCCUAAACCAUUUUUUUGAGAGUGGGAACUCAUUAGUUUCUGUCAAGGUAUGCACCCUUGAAUCUCUGUUGCAUAUUCAGCUACUGUUGCUGGUUUUUUUUUUUUUUGGUGAAUAAAUAAUUCAUUACCAAAGGAGAAGAACAUACAUACAAACCCCAAAUGAAGGGGAGGGAGAAGAGAAAGAAAAGGCAAAUCACAGAGCUGGAAAGCUCUCAGGAAGCUACAAUGUGACAAUUUCUUGGGGAAGGGGAAGAGGAACAAGUGGAAGUAACUUUUGAGAUCUUGGCUUUGACAUCAAAGAAGAUGGAGCUCCAAAUCUUUCCGAGCUGCCGAGAGUUGGAGGUCUAUUUCCUAUGAUUUCUCUCCAUCCAUAUUUGAUUGAUAGUUGUGCAAAAGGCAAGCUUGCCCAAUCGGUCAAGGAAGCUUCUCUGAUUGUAUGCCCCUAGGAAUAUCUAGUACUUUCAACUUCAUGAUUGUAUUCUUAAAGGAGAAAUUAUUAUUUUUGGGUGAUUUUUUCCCCUACUAAAUGUUUACAGAUUGUAAUCAUAAGGCAUUUCCUUGUGGACUCAAUGAGCUCUAAAGUCAAUGCGAGUUUGUAGAAUCUGCCUUGUACUGUUUUAUUUUUCUCUUCAUAACUUUUCUUGAUUUGAUAUAGAAAACUCUUCCUAUGGCAAGAAUAAUUUUCGGCAAUUUUCAACCAUAACACCCCUAAAACUUCAAAGUAUAGUGUCCCAUUCCCAAAUCCCAAUAAGAAAAUCUGAAAAGCAUCCAAAAAUUUCAUUUGAAUCCCUUCCCACCUUAACUGAGCUCUCAAAACUCCAUCUCCCAUAUCCAUAUUUUCUUUUCCUGGCUGUAGAAUCAAUUUCUGUUCUUGUAUUGUUUAUGUUGAUUGGCCUGUAGACUGUAGUUCCAUUUUAAAACCCAGAAUUAACCAGUAAUUUUACAAAAUAUUCUGAUUUUGUAUUUUGUUGGAGUCAGUCCACUACCUUCUCGAUUAAUAGUUAUAAAGCAGGUCUUAAUUUUUUCUGUUAGUAUCUAAUGGAAAUUUUACUGACAGAAAAGAAUAAAGAAUUAUCCAUGGAAAGAAGAGCAAAAGAUUCAAAGGGGGAAGGAAUUCCUGAUAUUUUGUGGAAAUAGGUGCAAACAACAGAGAAUCCUUGGAAUCAGGCCUCUUGCUCUCAGAGCUAUCCACUCCAUGGAUAAUGAUUCUUCUACUUCCCUUUGGCUUGACAACUAGCAUCCCUCUGGGGUUCUCUUCUCUGUGCUUGGAGCUAGAGCUGUGUAUUCUUCCGUGUUGCCCAAAGAUUCCAUUGUGGCCUUCAUCAUCCCCAAUGGCUUUUGGACCCUCCCCCUCACCCCCCUCCCCUGACCACCGUAGUGGAGGUGAUAGAACCACCCGGUCCCACUCCCCUUUUGGUACCUUCUUCUCCUCCUCUGCUUGAGAUCUAAUCCAGAACCGCAUCCCCCCUUCCCUUGGGUACAAAAUUGUCUAGUUUAAAGGUCAUAUUCCUUGCCAUAGCUUCACUGCCUGGAAAGCGCUCUCCAGCUACCUCCCCACGCAAUCCUUCCUCAUUCACUGCCACAUUUAUGUUCCUCCUGCCUGCCACCUUUGUUAGAAUGGGGUAGAAAACGCCGACCAUAUUUUUUUUUUUUUAGUUGCCUCUUUUCAUCUUCUAUUUAGAGAGAAGUCCUCGGUAGUUAUUGGCCCUCUAGAAGGCACAACCUUCCCCUUUAGAGAGAGUGGUUCUGGAUUGAUAUGACUUUUCCUGGGAACUCCAUUUGUGAUACUAUUGGCAAGAUCACCUUCUGCUCAACCAUCAACCACAUCUGGAUGGAAUGCAAUUGUCGAAGAUGGACAUCCAACUCCUAUUUUUAUGAUAUGAUUUGGAAAGUCAUCUACUUUGCUAUUAAUUCUAUGCUCCAUAUGCUCCCCCUAGGCCUCUUAGGGAUUCCCCAAGGAACAAGCUUAUUGUUGUGUCCUAGAGCCCUCCUCCACCAUUCUCUCUCCUAACCCCACCCCCCCUCUUGAAAGACUGUCGUUGUUUUGUUUGUGGAUUUUCUAUUCCUGAUUGCCUUGUGUAGGUUGUGUGUAAACCCUUGAAAAACACAAUAAUAUGAAAGGAAAAAGUGGAAGACAAAAUUGGGGUUGGGAGUUGGAUUGGACCAAAGCUUUUUUUUUUUCUUUUCUCAUAUACAGCGUUUUCACAUUGACUCUUCUCUUAUUAGGUGUCAAUGGCCAUGGCUGAUCCGUACGAGAGAGUGAAAGGAGGGAGACUGGCCUUCAAAGGUGAAGCUCUCGCCAUGGUCAAAUCAGUAGAUAAGAAGAAGAAGAAGAAAUCGAAGCAGAACCUAUACGAUGAAAAUUCUCAAGCUUCGGAAUUCGCCAGUGACGGAUCCAUUGCCAACAUUGAUGCCGUGAAAUGGCCAGAGAUUUUACACCAUUGAUGCUGCGAAGUGCUUGAAGUACGAGCAGCUCUUCCCCAUCGAAGCGAAGAAGUUUGGGUAUGACCCCAAAUCAAAUUUCAAGUCAAUUGAAGAGGUUCUCGAUGAUCGAGUCAGAAGAAGGCCAAUCGAUACUGUAAAUGAGGUGCUGCAAGGACAACUCAGACUUGGAGAGUCCCCAUCAUCAAACAGGUUUGCCUAAACCAGUGACAUGCAUUUGCUUAGAGCAGAGAAUUUUUAGCUCUCUCUUUUAUGGUGACUUGCAUGUUACCUGUCCAUUUGGGUAAGGCGAUGAGUGCUAUUAAUUCGAUCUUCAUUACAGUUUUCAAUUUAUAUUUCUGACAUUAGGAGUCAUAUAUAUACAUAUGAAUCAGGUGUGACAGAUCUGCUUACUGUUUUUGGUGGGAUGAAAAAGCCUCUUUUGCUGCCA